CCUGGCAAAUAUAGCACAAUGGACCCACCUGAUCCCAUUUCGAACUCAGAAGUGAAAUAUUGUAGUGCCGAUGGUAGUGUGAAAUUUUUUCGCGCGAGAGUAGGGAAUUGCCAGGU
rnacentral:rRNA from 1 species